CCUGGCGUUCCUCCGCCGAGAGGCCGCCCUCGUGUGCUUAGAGCCGUGACUGCAGCGGUCUUCCCUGGGACAGAGGAGCAGCUCAGGGAGGAGGAAGAGAAAGCGGGAAAGAGAAAACGCGCGUCCUUUCAGAAACGGAGCGGGAGUGCAAACAUUGCGGUUUCUUGGAGGGACUCAGAAUUGAUGUGGUGCUAUGGCAGAAUGGAACAGCAGUCCUUGUUCUGCAGAGGAGACUGGAGCUUCAUCAUCAAGUAGUUUAUAGGUAAGCAGAGGAAAAAAAAGACCUCAAACCCUGUGGGUGAUAGGUGUUCCUCUAGUUUGCUACCUUGAUUCUCUUUUAAAAAGUUGUUAGUGGGGCUGCAGAGUGUACUGCAGGGGUGGAGAAACAGGGACUUCUCUGCUAUCGAGGAGAAGCCUGACUUGAGAUGGUGCAAAUGUUCUAAGAAAUCCAACACUCCUUAGCAACAGUUGUGUAACAAGCAGUUAGCUAAUAGGCGGGAGUAGAUAGCAUUUAUAAAGAUGCAUGUCAUGAUAGCUGCUUUUAGAGCAUAGUUAACAUGUAGAGUUUUUAUUGAAAGCCAGGGUUUAUAGCUUGUGGAAAAGUUCAUUCAGCAUCAUCUCAAGCCUUAUCCAGCCUUGUCUUGGUGUUUACCCAGUCAUGUUAAUGUGAACACAGUUGGAGGGUGUAGGGAGAGGCGAGAGCAGAGAACCAGUCCUGAAUUACCAACAAAGGCUGCUGGUCACCACCCAGUUCAACAAAGAUUUGCUCACCUGUCCCAAGGCCUGGGGCUCACCAAACACUCCCCAAGGAGGGAUCUCCAGAUAGAAACCUUUCCCUUGGGGCAGCCAGCCCUUUAAUGAGGGCAGGGAGGGCUGGAACCGGGUUUUUGGAAUUGCUGCCACCUGUGCUCCCAGGGCUGCGUCCUUCCCCAGGUGCUCAAUUAUUGCUUAGGGCAGAGACUCAGCAAUUCCCAUAGGGAGGAGUGCAUGUUUAUUUUUAGGUCUGUGUAAAAUUAUUAAAACACAGAAUUGCAAGUUGGGACCCAAUGAGAGUAUAUUACUGAUACACUGUGACUAUAAAUGCUGUAAUGUACAAAUGCAUAGUGAAAAAGUGCUGCACUGGUUUUCCACUGUUUGUGUUUGAAGCAUGGUAUCUGAAGGUAAGUUGAUAGCACAUAUAGCCUGCAGACUUUUAUAAUGGAUUAAAUUCAUACAGAAAAAGUAUUUUAGCAAAUUUACAGGGCAUACUGUUCAGUUUUAUGGGUACUUAAAUAAUAAUUUGAUUUUGUAACACUUUUCCAAAUUCUGAGGUCAUCAGCGUCGCACAGACUUUAAUGAGGAAAUGGUUGGUGAUCAAGUAUGGAGGUUGCCUCCAUGUGAGAAAGUAUCAUAGUAAAUACUUAAAUGAAGCAGCUUCAUGACAGAAAGAAUCUUGUGCACACUGAACAGCUCGUUGUUCUUUCUCCCAAAGAAGUGCAUGCAGGUGUUUGCUUCAAAACAAGCUGAGCAGAAUACAAAAUGCAAAUAUGAAACCCAGCAAUCCAGCACAUCUUGAAAACUUUCAAAGAACUUAGGAAAAUCGAGAAUGAAUAGGAUAGAUUUGUCCAAUUUGUUCUUUAAUGAACCAGGAGGCAGAUGAGUUUUGGGGUAUGGUGAACGUUAGCUGCACGUAAUGAGAAAAAGAUCUUGUUGUGAAGUAAGGUCUGCAGGGUUCAUGAGCCGUAUGCAAGGUAAUUGUUUGCAAUUGUUUUAAUUCUUCUGAAGCUGCUCUGUUUCGAUUCUAUUGAAGAGCACCGCGUGUGCCUCGUGUGCCUGUUGCACAGAUCAGAACUCCUGCAGUACCUCCGGCUUCUCUUUUUAUGACAGAAGUACCUUACUGAAAGCAAAGGAAAAUGCUGCACCAUGCUUUUGUUCUGGCUGAUACUAAGGUAGUCCAGAGUCUCUAUACAUCAGAGUACCUAUGUCAGGGUUCUCAAUUUCUUGAGACAAGAAUAAAAGCAAAGGAAUUAAACUAACAAAACCCAGUAAACCGAAAUGUUGGGAGUUCAGGAGUUCUUCAUUGUUAAACAUGUUCUAUUCUCUCUGAUUCUGAAGAAAAACCACCAUUCUUUUGGAGUUUGUCUAAGCCCUCGUAUCAUUCUUGUUCCUUUUUGCAGGAAAGGUACUUGAUAACGUUGCCCAAAUAUUUCUGAUUCAUACAAUCCAGAAUUUUAGCUUGUUAUUAAAUGCAUUUCUCAUUUUUAAUAAGUAAAAGCAAACAAUUUAACUGUUUUCCUUUUUUUUUUAUUUGAGACACUUAGCAAAAAUGCUGAAAUAUCAAACAUUUCCUCAGUAGCUACAAUAUUGCCACUAUGUACAAAAAAUCUGAUAAAUGUACUACACAUAUAAAAAUACAAUAUGCCUUAAUAUAUAUACAGUACAAUGUGCAAAACAUAUGGCAUUCAAACGUAUGGAAUUGAUUUUAGGACUGCAAACAACAAAUACAAAGGCAUCAUGGUUUCUUAUAGAAAGGCAAAACAUAAACUGACGCCCUGAUUGCCAUAAUUUGCAUUUAGUAAAGUAGUGCUUAAAUGAAGAGGGCCCUAGGAAGAGGUGUCCAUCUUCUUCUUUUCACGAAAUGAGAUGCUAAGACACAGUAAUGGCUAUGAAAAUAAGAAGAGCAACACCUACGAGGUUAGCGUCAUUUCUACUGCAAGCAGCACUGUGGAAGAAAUAUCUGGAAAAAAGCCUGUGCUACUAAUACAAAUUUCUCAAUCAACAAAACAAAUCUGUCCUCUUAAACAUCAAAAUCUGCUUUGAAAAUAUCUACAUCCUUAAUUUUAAAAAAGUAUGGGUAAUUCUUUUGGGGAUUUACUUUCCUGUGCUUCAAAGUACAAAGUGCCUUCUUUGGCAAUACAAAUGGCAAUGCUUUGGUUCCUUUUUACAUUUUUAUAUUACUAUAAUUUAUUUGAGGCUGUUUUUGAAUAUCUGAGCUGUUCUUUUUAUAAAAAUAGUGUGAUUGUAUAGUUGUUAACCAUUCCCUGCUUUUUACUGAGAUUUCACUCUCAGAGCUUGAAUAGCUUUUUUUUGGCUAGAAUUCUACAAAUGUAUUUAUGCAUUCUGAACCUAAAAGUCUAUAUAUUCAGACACUACAGAAUGACACAGGUGUCUCUUUUCUGCAUGUUAUUCAUCACAAUAGAAGGAAUACUUGAGAUUAUUUCAGGUUCAGAUUUUAAAGGAUGCUCUUUAUUGGCCACAUAUAUACUAUGUGCAACUCAGUUCCAUGUCUCUCUCAAAAGAAAACCUCUAUUAUGGCCUAGAAAUCAUCAGAAAGCAAUUUAAUAGGCCACAACAAAAAAAAUUUAACAAAAUAUUCAGUAGAUAUAAGUGGAAGAAUAUUUUUUUCCAGUUUUAAUGUAAUUUGCUUUAAACUUAUAAUACACUGAAGAUGCCAUCCAAAUGACUGUAUACAUCAGUGAGCUUUACUGUGUUUUCAUUACAUAAUGUCCUUCCAGUUAAUUAUAUUCUUUGACUGCAUUUUCUCUGCCUUGAGAACAGUUCAGCAGCUUGUGCCUGGUUUCCAACUAUGGUGCUUAUGCUUUUCAGGCAUCAGAAUGUUUAAGAUUAUGUAACAGAGAAGUCUAAUAUUGAAACAUCUGCUUUGAUUAUUUGCUUCCUUGAAGAUAACUCCUGCUAGUCAAUUUAGAGAUGCCUUGAAAAGAAAUGUCUGUAUUAAACUGUGAUUGCUUCUAAUGUUGCCUCAGCUUUUUAAUGGGCUGGUUUUGCAAGGCUCUCAUUACUGGAUUAGAAGCUACAAUUCUGUAAAGAGCAGUUGAACAAACGGAUGGUUUUUUUUAAAGAUACAACUGCUAAGUUUAUGACAAUGACUUGCUAACUGUUUGUAACACUGAAUAAAAUUUGCCUGUAAACUUA